rnacentral:snoRNA from 1 species
AAGCAUUGAUCUGACCAUUAAACUUCAGAGGGAUGAGCUUGCUACAGCAAUAAAGUCUAACCUAUUCCAGUGCUUUCCUCUAUGAGACAAGCCAUUUUAUAGACUUAGUGUUA